rnacentral:rRNA from 1 species
AACGCGAAGAACCUUACCUACUCUUGACAUCCAGAGAAUUUGCUAGAGAUAGCUUAGUGCCUUCGGGAACUCUGAGACAGGUGCUGCAUGGCUGUCGUCAGCUCGUGUUGUGAAAUGUUGGGUUAAGUCCCGCAACGAGCGCAACCCUUAUCCUUUGUUGCCAGCGAGUAAUGUCGGGAACUCAAAGGAGACUGCCGGUGAUAAACCGGAGGAAGGUGGGGAUGACGUCAAGUCAUCAUGGCCCUUACGAGUAGGGCUACACACGUGCUACAAUGGCAUAUACAAAGAGAAGCGAACUCGCGAGAGCAAGCGGACCUCAUAAAGUAUGUCGUAGUCCGGAUUGGAGUCUGCAACUCGACUCCAUGAAGUCGGAAUCGCUAGUAAUCGUAGAUCAGAUGCUAUCCGAC